CCACUGGCUCCAAAGGGACCUUCUACCAGGGAAUUUGAUUACUUGGAUAGAGCCCUUCUGUCGACCACUGACCUCAGGGCUAGCUCCCCAAAACGUCGCCUUCUCUACGCUCGUUUCUGCAAAGUAGCAACAGAACAACUUCCAGUAAAAGAAGGCACUGAGGUUUAAGUGCUACGUGGGAGCAGUUGCCGAUUUUUGCAAUGGGAGGCUGCAUAGAUUCAAGGU
rnacentral:lncRNA from 1 species